rnacentral:rRNA from 1 species
UACGAAGGGGGCUAGCGUUGUCCGGAAUCAUUGGGCGUAAAGAGCGUGUAGGCGGCCCGGUAAGUCCGCUGUGAAAGUCGGGGGCUCAACCCUCGAAUGCCGGUGGAUACUGUCGGGCUAGAGUGCGGAAGAGGCGAGUGGAAUUCCUGGUGUAGCGGUGAAAUGCGCAGAUAUCAGGAGGAACACCGAUUGCGAAGGCAGCUCGCUGGGACGUCACUGACGCUGAGACGCGAAAGCGUGGGGAGCAAACAGG